rnacentral:rRNA from 1 species
GACGAACGCUGGCGGCGUGCCUAAUACAUGCAAGUUGAGCGCUGAAGGUUGGUACUUGUACCGACUGGAUGAGCAGCGAACGGGUGAGUAACGCGUGGGGAAUCUGCCUUUGAGCGGGGGACAACAUUUGGAAACGAAUGCUAAUACCGCAUAAAAACUUUAAACACAAGUUUUAAGUUUGAAAGAUGCAAUUGCAUCACUCAAAGAUGAUCCCGCGUUGUAUUAGCUAGUUGGUGAGGUAAAGGCUCACCAAGGCGAUGAUACAUAGCCGACCUGAGAGGGUGAUCGGCCAAAUUGGGAAUGAGAAACGGCCCAAACUCCUACGGGAGGCAGCAGUAGGGAAUCUUCGGCAAUGGACGAAAGUCUGACCGAGCAACGCCGCGUGAGUGAAGAAGGUUUUCGGAUCGUAAAACUCUGUUGGUAGAGAAGAAAGUUGGUGAGAGUGGAAAGCUCAUCAAGUGACGGUAACUAAACAGAAAGGGACGGCUAACUACGUG